CGCAUGCUUAAACUCCUUUACUGUGUUAACCUCUACCACUUCAGCUGGAAGGCUAUUCCAUGCAUCCACUACCCUCUCAGUAACGUAAUACUUCCUGAUAUUAUUUUUAAACCUUUGUCCCUCUAAUUUAAGACUAUGUCCUCUUGUUGUGGUAGUUUAUAGAAACAUAGAAUGCUAAAUAAUAAAAUCAAUCACUGAAUAUACAUUUCU